rnacentral:SRP_RNA from 1 species
GCCGGGCGUGGUGGCUCACGCCUGUUAUCCCAGCACUCUGGGAGGCCGAGGCAGGUGUAUCGCCUGAGGUCAGGAGUUCGAGACCAGCCUGGCCAACAUGGUGAAACCCUGUCUCUA